rnacentral:rRNA from 1 species
UACCCGCUGAGUUUAAGCAUAUCAAUAAGCGGAUGAAAAGAAACU